UACGGGGGGGGGCAAGCGUUGUUCGGAAUUACUGGGCGUAAAGGGCUCGUAGGCGGCCAACUAAGUCAAACGUGAAAUCCCUCGGCUUAACCGGGGAACUGCGCUUGAUACUGGAUGGCUUGAGAUUGGGAGAGGGAUGCGGAAUUCCAGGUGUAGCGGUGAAAUGCGUAGAUAUCUGGAGGAACACCGGUGGCGAAGGCGGCAUCCUGGACCAACACUGACGCUGAGUGAGCGAAAGCCAGGGGAGCAAACGGG
rnacentral:rRNA from 1 species